CCUCUUGUUUGUUGAUGUCAGCCACAGCAGAAAGAAGCACUCCAUAGGCCCUGUGCUCAGCACCUUGGCGUGAGCUCUUGCAAUCUUCUGUUCAUCCUCAUCACAGCUCUGUGCAGUGGGCGUCCUCCUGAUCCCGGUGGGAGGAUGGAGGAUGGAGGCGGAACGAUUUCUUUGCAUGGUCUCCCUUAUCCAGACGUGAGGGUGAACGCUGAGUUAUUCACGGGAGUCAAGAAACCACACGCAGCCCAAAGAGACGUUUGUUUCCCUGGAAUGAUUUGUGUGUGUUCACCUUAAAAUGCAACUCAGUAAAACAGGUGUGUUUUGAGGAAUGACUUUAAAUUACCCAGGUAAAAAUGUGACAGUUAAAUUUCAUCAUCUGUGCGGGUGUCCACAACCCCCUUCUGUGAUUGCGUGUGAGUUUGUGACUUGUGGUUAUUUUUGAAGAAAGAAAAUCUGUUGCUGAGGACUUCAGAGGGUGUGCUGGGAUUGUGUAGGGUGGACAUCGAGGGCUUCAGUGUGUGGCUUCCUUGAAGAGGUUCAAAUUAAGGCUGAGAGUCCCUACUCCAAAAUGCUCUGAAACCUGAAACAUUUCGAGCUUCCCCAUGACACUCGAAGGAAAUACCCUUCAGAGCACUUUGGAUUUCAGUCUGGGGAUGCUCAACUGGAAAGUGAAAUAUUGCAAGACUCUUCUGGCC
rnacentral:lncRNA from 1 species